AACCCCGACCUCUGCUGCGCCCGAAACCAGACGCAGUUUCAUAAACUCCUGCAAUGGUAUGUGGAUGUGAAAAUACAACAAGCUGAAGAAGACCGUUCUUUUCGUCAGCCACCAUCGUCCAAUACUUUAAAAUCGUCAGCUCAUUUAAUCCUUAACCCGACGGUGGAUCUUGCCGCGGAAGGUAGGC